ensembl:snoRNA
UGAUGUUAUGAUGAUGGCUAAAAUGUUCAGCUGCUCUGAAUGGACUGAAUAUAGCCUUCUGAACACUG